GACGAACCGUCCAAACGUUAUUCGGAAUUACUGGGCUUAAAGGGUGCGUAGGCGGCUCGGCAAGUUGGGUGUGAAAUCCCACGGCUCAACCGUGGAAUUGCGCUCAAAACUGCAGAACUUGAGGGAGACAGAGGUGAGCGGAACUUAUGGUGGAGCGGUGAAAUGCGUUGAUAUCAUAAGGAACACCGGUGGCGAAAGCGGCUCACUGGGUCUCUGCUGACGCUGAGGCACGAAAGCUAGGGUAGCGAACGGG
rnacentral:rRNA from 1 species